UGUGAAGAACAGAGGACACGUUGUGUACGAAUGUGCAAUUAGAAGAAAAUUUGAAUAUGAAAGUUCAGAAUAUGUUUUUCAGCCAUUUGGACAGCCCUACAACUUCCCCUUUAUUUGCAUCUGGAGGUGAGCUGAACGCCCAAUGUGCAAAGACUCCUAAAGAACCGGACAGCAGAUCUCCCUGUCCUCCGCAAGGCCGCCCAAUGCUCUUCUGGUUACAGGGGUAUUGGUGUAUCAUUG